UCCGGCUUAUCACCGGCGGUUUCUUUAGAGUGCCCAACUAAAUGAUGGCAACUAAAGACGAGGGUUGCGCUCGUUGCGGGACUUAACCCAACAUCUCACGACACGAGCUGACGACAGCCAUGCAGCACCUAUACUACGGUCUCUUGCGAGAAGAUCUGCUUUCACAGACUGUCCAUAGCAUUUCGAGCCCAGGUAAGGUUCUUCGCGUUGCGUCGAAUUGAACCACAUGCUCCACCGCUUGUGCGGGCCCCCGUCAAUUCCUUUGAGUUUCAGCCUUGCGAUAAGUUGGAGGAAGGUGGGGAUGACGUUCGUCUGAC
rnacentral:misc_RNA from 1 species